rnacentral:lncRNA from 1 species
GGGGAGACCAAGGGUGCCCUGCUCAAUGUCAGCCCUGACUCUGUGCCACGUGCACUCAGCUCUGCCACGGAGGUGCAUGGCUCUGUAGACGUGGACGCCUCAGGGGUGACACCUCAGAGCUCCUGUUUACCUCUUUAGCCACCAGGAAGACAUUAGGACUCCCAGAGGGUGACUCCAGGGGCAGGUGGCUUGGAGGACUGGCCGUGCAAGGAGGCAGCAAAGGGGCGGCCAUCUGCAAGCUGAGGGCAGAGGCCUUGGAGGAAGCAGCCCUGCCAGUGCUGCCUGCAGGUCGGAAGUCCAAACCAAGGUGCUGGAAGGGCUGGUUCCUUCCGGACCCUUCAGGGGAGAAUCUUUCUGCCUCUUUGGCUUCUUGAGGCCCCUUCCUGGCAUUGCUUCUUUCUCCACUGACUCCUACCAUCAGCGCUGAGUCCUGCCUGCCUCUUAUAAGAUCUUCAGAGGCCACCUGGGAUGUCAGAAGCUUCCAGGAACCAGGAGGUAGCUGCAUCUCCUGUCCCUUCCCUGAGUCACCUUGCUGGACUCCACAGUGUGGUGCAGACAAGAAGCUGCAGGGGACAACAUGGAAGGAAGCGGGGAUGGAGGAGAUGGAAUGGGAUGGGCUCUGGGCCCGGCCAAGCAGAGCAGGAUAGGGCUGAGAGUCAUCUGAGCACAGGUGGUUCAAAUGGCAGAGAAGCUCCACGCUGGAGCGGGGAAGAGCUUGGGCUUUCCGGCCAGAAAGCGCAGGUUUUGGCCACGGCUCUUCUGCCACUCACUAGAUGUGGGAGUUUGGAGGCGUUACCCGAGCUCUGAGCCUUACUUUCCUCAUCUGAAAAAUGGGAAUAAUGGUAGGGUUAAAUUAAACCAAAUUUGGUCUGAGGAUGCCUCUGCACUUUGAGUCCAACUGCGACCUUAGCAGCAAAUGAACUGCAGGCCUAGCUUAGGAGUGUACUUUUGUAAGAAAUAGCCGAGUCUUAGCCAAUCACAGCAGCUGAGCUUCUAUAAAUCGCAGGUGGCUGCUGAGUAGUCCAUGUUCAAACACGGCAAACCAAGCUGUGACCAAUGAGCUGUCUCUGCAGCUCACUUCCAUUUUCUGUCUAUAAACACUCCCUGCCCACACUGUGGAGUGGAGCUCAGCCCUUGGAACCUCUUCUGGUCUGAGGGCUGCCCACUUCAUGAAUCCUUUGCUUAAUUAAACUCA